ensembl:lncRNA
UUGCUUGUAUUAUUGAAAAAAUGGGGUCCCCUACGGGAUGGAGGAAAUGUUCAGGAAUCCCCAGCCCGCCUGGCUGAGUAUUUCAGUAGUCUAAUCAAAAACGUACUCACUACACGAGAACGACAGUUAGCUGCCUCCACGGUGGCGUGGCCGCUGCUGAUGGCCUUGAACCGGCUAAAUAUAACUGAAGAGGCUCGCACUGAUGAAAAUCAACUAUUACAUGACCGUGUGGAAGAACUGGAAAGACAGGUUGCAAUUUUGAGAUGGAAAAAACCUAACCCUAUAAUUCCCAUACAAAAAAUCCGAAACAUCUCUCUAGAAAUUACUGGAGAUCCUAUACAAGACAAUCCACAUGAACUGGAUUCAGAAAAUGAAAGCACUAAGAAGUCGGAUCUUGAGGCUCCACUAGAGCUAGAUCCCUUUGAGAUCCAACCAGUUGUAACUCAAAAAACAAAAAAAAACGCAGGACAGGCCAGCGGGGCCCUGACCAGUGGCCCCCUGCCCAGAGCACACUACAUGUAACAGCUCACCCAUACAGGGCAGCUGAAUUAAUGGAUUUAGUACAAUGGUUUAGACAAAAACCGAGAGAGAGUGUGCCAGCGUGGUUGCUCAGACUAUAUGACAUGGGGGCAGAAAGCGUUGUGGUGAAUGGGCCAGAAAUCUCAAAACUGGCAUCCAUUACUACUCACCCGGCCCUCAGGCAAAGACUAUAUGCAGCUGUGCAACACAAUGAAGAAAAUCAUUCACUGAUUACAUGGUUAAUGGCCGCAUGCCGUGCGACACGGGCGAAUAAAACGGACAUACCAUUAAAUACCGGCCUAUGGUCCUCUAUAGAGGACUUACAAAAUUACAUUCCGAGAAUUAGGUAUGAAGGAGGCAAUUUAUGAGGAGAAUUUUGAGAGCCCAGAUAUGAUAAAGACCGAAAUACAGCCUGCAUCUUACCGUGGAGGGCAGACCUACCCCUCCUCAUACCUAUUAAGCAUCUGUUUUAUUCCCCUUGAGGUUUUAAGUUCACAGGAUGGCCAGCAGGAGCAACAUCACUCAAACACGCUUAUGAGGAAACAUUAUGAGGAAACUGUGACGCACUGCUGAACUUUUGGGAACUGGAGAGCAUGAAUCAGAAGCGCUACUGGUCCUUGAAAAAGAUACGCCUUGAGAAAGAACAUCAAGUACUGGCCCAAUAGAACCGUGAAGGGGACUGCCACUGAUUGCCUUUAUUGUCUUGACAUCCUAUAUUGCGGCGGGUGUUGUGUAUGCGUCGCGAUGUGCAUUGUGUCUUGGGCCACCAGGUUGCAGGGGCUCACCCCCUACCUGCUCAGUCAUUGGUUCAUGCUGUGAAGGAGUGGAGUGUAGUGGAAUUCCAGGGUCACAGCCUGAACCAAUGGGUGGGCUAUGUGAGUGUGUGAGUGCGGCGGCGCGGCGGUACGAACGGGGGAAGGACACGUUCCUCAGCUCGGCUCUCUCUGCGCGCUGCUACCGGGAGGGGGGGUAACCAUGAUGAUCAUGUACCUCUCCUAGGAGGAGGAAGAGAUUCUGAGAGACUGGUACAGUUCAGCAUGAAGGUGCAGGAGGUAUCCUAUGAAAGUGCAUAAACACCUGUAGGAAGAGUGCAAAGAGGAUGGAGCCAAAUUUUUUUCAGGAAAUUUUUUUUUUUUCGGUGUCAGGAUAGGAGGCACUAGGUACAAGGAGGAAUACUAGAGGUUCUCUGGAAAAAAAAAAAAAAAAGAAAGAAAGAAAAGAAAGAAAGAAAAAUAAUAAUAAUAAUAAAUACUUCCUUACUGUGCAUGUGACUGAAUGCUUGGAGCAGAUUACAUAGAGAGGUUGUAAAGUCUCACUGCUUGCAGGGAUAUCUUCAAAAGCCACUUAGACAAUGUCCUGGGCAAUCUGCUGUAGGCAUCCCUGUUUGAGCAGCCGAGUCGGAUCAGAUGGCCUCUAGAGGACCCUUCCAACCUCAACCAUUCUGUGAUUCUGUGAUUUUUUUCUUUCCCUGGAUUAAGUGUUUCAGAUUGUCAGUAUGUUGAGAG